GUGUGUACUUUGUACAUCUGGCUUCCUCCAUUGGACUAAAAGUUUAGUGGGACAGCUGAGGGAAGGCAUCUUUUCUGAGUUCUUUUUUAUUUCUCUCCCAUUUGGUAGGUAUUCAAAUAUUUGUUGAAUGGAUGAGGAAAAUCCCACCCCUUCCCCAACACACGCAGAGAAUCAGCUGUUGGAGAGCUCCAAAGGAUUUCAUCACAACCAUGCUAUUAACCAUGAAAAUCCAUUUACUUCCCGUCAAGGUACUUGUGGUGCAUCAGAAAUCGUGAGUUGUACUCCAUGCUUCAUCACAGCUAAAUCUUGGAAGCAGCCAAUACAUCCAUCAGUGGAACUUUGGUCUUGAGGCCCCUAAUGCUGAGGCAUGCGACAUGGAGAACUCUGAAGGAAGGUCAGUCUCACAACUGUAGACCUCUUGCAUCAUGAGAUGAAUACUUACAGAAAGCACCAAGCUCAAAAAAUACAUUUGCAACUCAAAAAAGCAGACUUGUCUCCUACAGUGUCCUCAUGGAAGGUGGAUGAAUGGACCAAAGUCAGCUUUGCAAAGGCAGCUCUGAAGCAGCUGUCUAGGAGCGCUGGGCAGAGUGGAGAGGGCGGUCAGCAUGGACAGGCAGGCAGCAGGAAGGGUGACUUCUAGCACUCUGCUGCACAGUGGGAC
rnacentral:lncRNA from 1 species